rnacentral:lncRNA from 1 species
AAGUGGUUAACACAAAGGGGAAUUCUUUUGUCUACAAGGAUAUCAAUGAAUAUCAACUUGCUUAAUUAUCUUUUGCCUUCUUUUAGUUAUCAUCUUUUUUCUGUGUCUUCAACUGUGAUGCAAACCUGAAUAUCCAAAUGACCCUUGAUGCAAUUCUGAGCUCAAUUACAAUUUACUACCCAGAAUUGAUUUUGGACUUAAUAUGACCCAUAGCGUUAGCACAAUGCUGACACCCUCCCUUUUUCUCCCUUUGUUUUCAACUUUUUCAUCUCUUGGUUAUGUUAAGUGAUUUUGAAGUUUAUUUUUUCUUCCAUUCUGUUGGGACACCAAAUGUGUCGGUAGCGUUAGUACAGCAGCCGUCAUCGAAUGAGAAUGAUGCCUCAGCCAGUGAGCAGCAGUGUCUGGGUGAGGAAUCUGACAACCCUAUGCCAGCAUGCAGUAAAUUGUAUUGGUAAUAAGGAAGGACGAGGAAGAAAUGCUUCUAGCUAGCUGUAAGGGAAAGACAAACAAUUUUGGAUACGGCGUAGUUAGCUUUAUAAGAAGAAAUUUUCAACUUCGAACCAUCGUUGUGAAAAAUUCUGUGAUAAGAAGUACCAUGAAUUCAUAUAGAUCAGCUGUGUUUCUCAACUUUUUCUAUAUAGCAUUUGUUAAAACCGAAUAUGUGUUGCCAAAUAAAGUACUCUAAUUUUCAUAGACUUUUUUAUUAGUAAGGGUAGGUUUGUUUUUUUUAGUUUUAUGAUUUAUUUUAGUUUUGUAAUUUUUUUCUAGAUGUUACCGUAGCGUUAGCACGGGCAAUAUACUAGUGUAAGAAAUUGAACACCUUAUACUUUCCUUGAGGAGGCUCUAAACGAUUCCAGAAUUCUGGUAUAUGGUAGGUGCUUUCUUUGAAAGGUGCAAGAUACCCAUUUCGGUUUGAAUAACCCGAAUCCACAAGAUAAUAUUUUCCUAAAUAAAACAAGUUAGUAAGGUACAUAAUAAUACAACCGGCUAACAUAAUCUAGUAGAGGUGAAAACUCCCAUCGGCUUAUUGCCUGCUUCUAUUUUCUCUUUGCAUGCAUCAAACAAGUUCCUCACAAAAGAAUCACUCCAAUCUGCCUUGUUACUCAUACUUGAAGCAAACAAAAAAAACAAUCAAGAGCAGCAAUUUUACCAUAC